AUCUCGUUAGAUCACCGAAGUCAAGCAUCAUUGGGCGCGGUCAGUACUUGGGUGGGUGACCACCUGGGAACACUGCGUGCCGUU